ACUUAAUUGUAUGGAAUAUCACCUAGCCAGUGGAACUUUGGUUAAAUGGUGCCUUUAUUAAUACCAGAGUGUAAAAACUUGAAGUGUUAACAAGGGAUCACACUAUUUGAUUGAAGUGGGGUUCUAGUUAAUUUACUUUGAGUAAAUUAGAGUGUUCAAAGCAGCCUCUUGGGGCUUUGAAUAGAUUUAGCAUGGGAUAAUAAAAUAGGAUUUGAUAACCUAUUUGUUGGUUUGAGUUAAUCAAAUAAUGAUUAAUAGGGGACAGUUGGGGGCAUUCAUAUUAAAUGGUUAGCGGUGAAAUGUGUGGACCCAUUUAAGAUGAACUAAAGCGAAAGCAUUUGCCAAGGAUGUUUUCAUUAAUCAAGAACGAAAGUUAAGGGAUCGAAGACGAUUAGAUACCGUCGUAGUCUUAACUAUAAACUAUGCCGACCAGGG
rnacentral:rRNA from 1 species